rnacentral:rRNA from 1 species
UACGUAGGCAGCAAGCGUUGUUCGGAAUUACUGGGCGUAAAGAGUGUGUAGGCGGUGCUCUAAGUUCGGUGUGAAAUCUCCCGGCUCAACUGGGAGGGUGCGCCGGAAACUGGGGUGCUGGAGCGCGGGAGAGGAAGGCGGAAUUCCUGGUGUAGCGGUGAAAUGCGUAGAUAUCUGGAGGAACACCGGUGGCGAAGGCGGCAUCCUGGACCGGCAUUGACGCUGAGGAGCGAAAGCCAGGGGAGCAAACGGG